GACGAACGCUGGCGGCGUGCCUAACACAUGCAAGUCGAACGGAAAGGCCCGGCUUUUGUGGGUCGGUCGAUUGCCGAACGGGUGAGUAACACGUGAGUAACCCCUCCCUGACUUAGGGAUAUCUUCAGGAAACUGGGGCUCAUAUCGCAUAGGAUCUCUUGCUGCAUGGUGGGCGUUGGUAAGAUUCGGUGGUUGGGUAUGGACUAGCGGGUUAUCAGCUUGUUGGUGGGGUAGUGGCUUACCAAGGCUUUGAGGGGUAGGCGGCCUGAGAGGGGGACCGGCGACAAUGGGACUGAGAGACGGCCCAGACGGGAACGGGACGCAGCGGGGGAGAGUAUUACAGAAUGGGGGGGAGCGAGUGGCGACAACGCUGGGAGCGGGAUGACGGGCUUCGGGUUGUGAACCGAUGUGGACUGAGACGAGGCGAGAUUGACGGUACCGGGUAAAGAAGCACCGGCUAACUACGUG
rnacentral:rRNA from 1 species